rnacentral:sRNA from 1 species
GCUUCUUCUCUUCCUCG